rnacentral:rRNA from 1 species
AUUGAACGCUGGCGGCAGGCUUAACACAUGUAAGUCGAGCGGGGGAAGGUAGCUUGCUACCGGACCUAGCGGCGGACGGGUGAGUAAUGCUUAGGAAUCUGCCUAUUAGUGGGGGACGACAUCUCGAAAGGGAUGCUAAUACCGCAUACGUCCUACGGGAGAAAGCAGGGGAUCUUCGGACCUUGCGCUAAUAGAUGAGCCUAAGUCGGAUUAGCUAGUUGGUGGGGUAAAGGCCUACCAAGGCGACGAUCUGUAGCGGGUCUGAGAGGAUGAUCCGCCACACUGGGACUGAGACACGGCCCAGACUCCUACGGGAGGCAGCAGUGGGGAAUAUUGGACAAUGGGGGGAACCCUGAUCCAGCCAUGCCGCGUGUGUGAAGAAGGCCUUAUGGUUGUAAAGCACUUUAAGCGAGGAGGAGGCUACUCUAGUUAAUACCUAGGGAUAGUGGACGUUACUCGCAGAAUAAGCACCGGCUAACUACGUGCCAGCAGCCGCCGUAA